rnacentral:rRNA from 1 species
GGCUACCACAUUAGCAUUUUGGCACCGCGCGCGCGCAUUAGCUAGUUGGUGAGGUAACGGCUCACCAAGGCGACGAUGCGUAGCCGACCUGAGAGGGUGAUCGGCCACACUGGGACUGAGACACGGCCCAGACUCCUACGGGAGGCAGCAGUAGGGAAUCUUCCGCAAUGGACGAAAGUCUGACGGAGCAACGCCGCGUGAGUGAUGAAGGUUUUCGGAUCGUAAAGCUCUGUUGUUAGGGAAGAACAAGUGCCGUUCAAAUAGGGCGGCACCUUGACGGUACCUAACCAGAAAGCCACGGCUAACUACGUGCCAGCAGCCGCGGUAAUACGUAGGUGGCAAGCGUUGUCCGGAAUUAUUGGGCGUAAAGGGCUCGCAGGCGGUUUCUUAAGUCUGAUGUGAAAGCCCCCGGCUCAACCGGGGAGGGUCAUUGGAAACUGGGGAACUUGAGUGCAGAAGAGGAGAGUGGAAUUCCACGUGUAGCGGUGAAAUGCGUAGAGAUGUGGAGGAACACCAGUGGCGAAGGCGACUCUCUGGUCUGUAACUGACGCUGAGGAGCGAAAGCGUGGGGAGCGAACAGGAUUAGAUACCCUGGUAGUCCACGCCGUAAACGAUGAGUGCUAAGUGUUA